rnacentral:lncRNA from 1 species
UUGACUCGGCCGCCUCCAUUUCCCCUUCCUUUCUCUAUUCUCUCAACUCCCACAGACAAAUCAAUCACAAACCUUGCACAAAUUCGUGGAAGGUCAUGAAUCAACCAGUAAAUCAUCCUUAUUGCCCCCUAUGACUACGAAUCAUGCUAUUUUCUUUCCUCUUUCAUCAAUAAGAUUCAAAAUCCCCAAAAUUUGAAACCCUAGCUAAUAGAUGAUAUUUAAAAUCGUUUGUAACACUGUUAUGGUCAUUCAAAUCUGUGGCAUGCAUGGCCAUCCCUUUAGCGUUAUCAUCAUUAUUCUUGGUCCGGAGAUUAAGCGAACAACCUCUAGACAUUGGGCCUUUAUUGGAUGGAUCAUUCCUUCAACGGUCAGCUUCCCCAUCUCAGGUAAAAACUAUCACUGCUCUCACCUCAGUUCUUCUCUGAUUUCACUCGAUGUUGCUUGCAUCAUCAACUCUUCGUCAUCUUCCACUAUCAUUUUGAAUCUGUUGAAACAUAAGGCAUUGAAUGCCAUUAAAAAUGAUGCCUUCAAUACCCUUACCUAUAUGACCUAACUACAGAAGUAUCAUUAACUACACUUAAAGUUCUAAGUAGCAAAAUAAAAGCUAGGGUUCCUAACUGUAUUUUGAUUUCUUUCCUCUUUCUGGUUUCGAGCUUAGCUGAUUGGGGUUUGAAUUUUGAUUCUUAAACGGCUAAGAAAAAUCCUCAUUUUGUUUGCUGCUCAAAGGAAGGUUAGUGAGCUUUGACACUUCCUCUCUUUCAAUCAUUUAAUUAAAAUCAUGGUUAUUCUGUUAUUUUUCUGUUAAUUAACUCUACUUUUGAUAUGUUAUAAUUAGUUAUAUCUGCCUUAAUGUAUUUGUCAUUAGUUUAUGAUUUAUUAUUAAACUUUGGAGUUGUAUGUUUCCUUAACAAUCUGAAAACAAAACCAUGUACUAGUCGACUACUCUUGUAAUCCCAAUCAAUGUGUCUUUGAGUUGAGUAGUCUAUGUGCUGUUGAGUUUCUGUAAUUAACCAUGAACUUUAAUUAUCCUAUAUACAUGUCUUGACUUUAGACCACCCUGAUGUUAUACUAUGGCCUUCAUGUCUGCUACACUAAUUUGCCUUGGUGUUAUUUAUGAACCUUUAAUGAUGAAAACAAGACUGUCAUCUUAGUUUGGGUAUAUCAGCUUAUGUCAUUUGAGUUAAUUUCUUCCUUCUAAUAUGCUUUUGUGAUUCUGUAGUAAUUGAAUGAUCAGUAAAAAUGGUUUCUCUCAAUUUUCAUAACUGCUUGAUCCCAUAUGUGAGUCUCACUGCAUAAAACAAUGCUCUAAAGUAACUAGAUUAAGCUCUAAUGAACUUCUACAGUUAUUCUUGUGUGCAUCUUGUCAGUUGUUACUCACUUAGCUUAAGUUAUGCCUUAGAGAUUGGACUGAAAUUGCAUUUGCUAUGACUGAGCAUUGUUUGUUAUGUUGGUAGGCUGAACAAAACUUCACCAUGUUUAAAUCAUCACCCUUAACCUGUACAGUUAAACCAGGUCUACUUAAUAUAAAAAUUUCAUUGUUCUGAACAUCUAUAAUGACACUAUUAGUCUAAUUCCAUGAUGUUAGAUACUCCAUUGUGUUUGUAAUAUUGUAAUCCUGUAAGAAUGUCUCAUCACUCAUGUGUAUUUGAAUGCUAUCUAUUGAGAGUUUUGCACUCAUCCUUGUAUUAAAAAGAGCUCUGCUUACCCUUCAUGCUCAUACCUGUACCUCCAUUAUCACCGAGCCUCACUAAGCUUACAUAGGUUAACUAUGAUUGACAUGUGAACAUAAAGGAAACUAUUGAUGUUACCUGCCCUGCCUGAAUAUAGUAGCAUGCUUUAACUCUUAAUGAAGUUGGUAUGAACAUGAGAUUAAGAGCUUUAGAAGAAUGUAAUCAUGCCAUCUGCUUAGGAUGAAAUUGACCUGUUAAUUUGCAUAAGCAUCUCUUCUAGUACACUUUAGAGCUUCCAAAUGAAGUUGUUAACUUAGGCAUCUUACAGGAGUUAAGGCCUAGUAUAUGGAUAAACUUUUAGUCAAUUUAAACAUAGGCUGUCAAAAUGAUGUGAUCAUCACCAGGAACUUCUGUAAGCUUGAACUAUGUAUCUUUCCUACUAUUUAAGUUAUAUGACUUAGUUGUUUGCGUUUUUCAAAGUGAUCUGCUGAUGUUCUUUUCCUCUAUGUGCACUUGUGAUUGGUUUCUUUGAGCAUACCUAAACAUGUUUAAGAUACUCACAGUGUAUCAUAUACUUGUGUUUGGAUUGUGGCUACACGUGUGUGAUUGGUUGUCUCAUAAUCACGAUGAUAUUCUGUAUAAUUGUUAUGAGAAAUGUGCAUAUCCCUAUGUUGUUGUUACUGUUGUAUUGAAAUUUAUACCGAGUGCCUCAUUAGCACUCAAACCUAUAUGGAGUAGUAAGUGUGAGUGUUUAAGGGUGCUUAGGAGUAAAGUUUAGUUUGUGGUUAAGAUACUCUCCUAUACACAAGCAUUGCUUGGGCUCCCUGAUACCCUUGUGAACUUUGAAGUGCCAGGGAUCCAAAGGAUGUCUUGGCCAUGUAUGAGAUUUCACCUUAAGACCUUAGUCAUUGACCUUUGCUAAUAUCUUUAGGGUUAGUGUUAAAUGACAUAAAAGGCUUCACUUUAAUUUUCUUUGCUCUGUUUGACUUUACAUUAGUUUAUUUGCAUUCCUAAUUACUAAUUCUUGUUAUAGUUCUGUCUUGGGCCUUGCAUUGAUAUUACUUGUGUUCAAGUGUUAUAUUGGACCAUGUAUCUAAUGUCUUUUUUUUCUUUAAAAAUGUGAUCGAACUGGGCCUAUUGAGUUCUCAAGAACUCAGGCCCAAGUUCUAGCUUGAAUAUGGAGUCGUUGAAGCUGCUGCCAUUUGUUCGUUGUCCACUGGGCCUAACUUCCUUCACGCCCAAACCAUUAGUCCAUUUCCUUUCCUUUAUCGCUCUUAUAAGUUUGCUGCUAUUUUUUAUGCAUACAACACUUAUAAUAUUUGAGUGAGUGUUUCUCUUAUUUCUUUGAGUUACUUUAAAAACCUAGGCAAGCCUAAAACUAUAAGUAAAUAUAAAAGUACUAUCCCUUUAGUAAUUAAAUAACUUUAAUUUGUUUAAAUCUCUAUUAUCUAGUCCUCACCCUCAUAUACUAUCUGUUUUUUUCAUGAAUUUCUCUAAGUGCAAAACAGAUUUGGAAGGGCGACAAUCUCUCUUUCUAAAAACCAAAAUCAGAAAAUGAUUUCCAAGUCGGGCUUUCUACAAACCAAAUGAACAAUGCUGCAUAUCAAAGAUCCUCAAACGAUUUUUCUCCAGAACUUGAGUGUAAGAUUUGAAAUCAAUUUUUAAGGUAUAUCUAAACCCAUUUCCUUAGUAGUCCUUACUUUAUACAAAUAGCCACCUUAUUUCAAAAGUCAAAUAUUUAAAACAUAAUCCCAUUUUACAAAAUUAGUAAGUAUAAGUAUUAUAAACCCGUUUUUAACACUCUUUCAAUUGUAUAGACAUUCCAAAAAAAAUUUCUUUUAAAUAAAACCUACACUCUCUUUUCAAAGUAUAUAUACUACUUCCCUUUCAAAAUGAUAUGUUUUAAAAUAUAACACAAGGUAAGCCAUAUACUUUUAAGCACUAACUGAGUAGAAUAUAGACAUCAAUUUUCUCAAACCUAGUCUAAAUUCUAUGGAGCUAUCUUAGGUAGAUUCUAGGGUGUGCCUAACACCUUCCCCUUAGAAGAACAAGAACCCUUACCCAUAUCUUACUGGUUAGCAGACUAAUUGGAUAAUGAUUUAACAAGUGAAUAGGUGCCCUAGUAUACCUUUAAAUAUUAGGUGGCGACUCUCUUUUAUCAACAAUAGGGAAACCACUAGUUGAAUCGUAUUUUGACUUGUGCAAAAUAGGGUACAACAACAUGGCGACUUUCCUAAGGACUACACUUAGGUUCUGACCUUACCAGACUUAGACUAGAUUUGGAAUUUAAGAAUGUUUGCUAAUAUGCUACUUUAACUGUGCUGAUUAUCGCAAAUGUGUGGUUACCUGCCUUACUUGUUCAGCAUGUACUUAUCUGCCUGCUUUAAUAUUAUUACUAUUAGCCCACUAUUUGUUACCGCUUUAUACACUGUCAUCACAUUCUUUCCUAUCGAGUCUUUGGCGUACACUAUCACACACAAUGGCACGUGAGGGUUGUCUUUUCACCCCUCCAAAUAUUCUUUCAAAAUUCUUUAGUCUCAGAGAAUGGCUUUGUCAGGUCAACUGACAUAAUAUCUCGCAGUAUUCAGUCCAACACCAAAAAUUAGGAAUCACUCUACUCUAGCAAUGAUAGGUCAUGUUGCAAAAACCUUAGGUGAGUCGAUCCUUGGCAUCAACACACAAUUAGGAAAGCCACCUUAAUGUCAAGGGCUCAUGCACCCAAAUGACAUGACUUUUGUGAAACAACAAACCGAUCAUGAGAAGACGCUAAAGAUCCGGAUCAAGCACCUAUUAAUGGUGGAAGAAUAUUUUUCUGAAUCAUGGAGAUGAGAUCAGAAUGCACCCAGGAGCAUUGACUGCCUUACUGAAUGUCCGGGCAGACAAAGUCCUCACCAAGUUGUUGAUAGAAUUCUGGGAUCCAGCCAAAGUAGUUUUCAACUUCGUUGACUAUGAGUUAGUGCCAACACUAUAAGAAGUCACCAGCUUCACAGAGCUAUCCGAUUCUGCUAGUUACCAUGCCUGGCUAUAGGUUUCUCGAUGCUUUGGGUUUGGCGGGUUGUCAGAGUUUGAGGAACAUUGAAGACGGAUAGAAGAGAGGGCGAAUCAACAUCAACUUACUCCUCAUGGUCUUGGAAAUAAUUUGAGGUUACCUCCAAGUCACCUUGGUGCCCAUGAUACUGGCAGAAACUCUCAGAGCACUGUCUGCAUGUUCCCGAGGGUACGAUUUCUUUAAUGGCUGAAACCUUUUACUCCAAAUUUGGGCCAUGGAGCACUUCUUUCAAUGAGAGGCCAUAGUUGACUACUUUGUAGGUGUUAGCAAUAUGAUCAGGAGUCACAAUGAGAGAAUGAGGCACUGGGUGGGCAGGAAGAAUAGAGGGAGAAUGCUGACAAACUUGAGUAGAGAAUGGAUAAAUUGGAUGCUUUCAUGGUUGAGCGGCAGGGCAAUUCUAAGGACCCCCUAGAAUUAUUUCAUAGAGCUGAUAUGAAUCGAAGGCAUUCAGCCAUAUGCAGCGCUAUGAGUUCUCAGGUAUUUGGGUUUGAACCAGGAUAUACCCCUUUGGACGAGAACGACUCUGUAUGAAGAUGAGUACAAUGGGCAGAUCCCGAUCCCAAGGGUGAGGAAUGAUUAGGAGGAGUGGAGUGAUUUAAUUAUGAUGUCGAAGGGUCAGAAUUAGUGGUGUACCCCUGAAUACUGUGUCUAGAUCAAUGAAGAAGAUGAGUUGUCCCGACCAAGCAAAGAAGGAGUGGCUUGGCUGGAAGAUGCAGCAACUGCCUUACAAAUAUGUCAUGAGAUCUUGCCUCGUUAUCUUGUGACUACCUCCAUGCAUCGCCAAGUGGCCCCAGGGUUAGUUGAUCAUAUGAUGCCACCCCCGGAGGAUGAUGAUCGAGUGGUUAAGUAUAUAUAAAUUGAAUCCGAGACAGAACCAGAAGAGGAUCCUGAAGAAGAGCCCGGAUACAAUGAUGAUGAAGAAGAAGAAUUUGAAUAAGACCUUGGAGAUGAACUUGUGGAAGAAGACAUGGGAGAUGAUUCUGGGGGAUAACUACACCCUUUAUCUUGUACCCCUUUCAUUAUUCUAAGGGCAAGUUUGUUAGACCAUGUAAUCUUGCGGAUGUUGGAAAAGAAUAUUGUAAUCAUCGCUCCUACUUGUUACAAUCCAAAUAUUAUUAAUGAAAAAUGAAAAACAAAAAGACAAAGUUUUCUCCAGAUCUAAAUGUGUCAAAUCUGAUUGUUUGUCAAACAUUUGCGACAUAGGCCUACCUCCGGCAAAGAGAGGUCCCUCGCACAUUAGGAAACGCACUUACGUGAAUAUGUGAACUAACUGCUCCGUGUGCUCAUAUUUGUGCAAAUUAUGAAAUUGACUUCGGCUCUUCUUUUCUUUUCUUUUCUUGCAUUACUUUAUUGUUAUUCCUCGAAAUAGAGUUUGCUUUGUGUUGACCAGAAAAGUUGGUUGAACUACCAUAUAACCUAAGAUCAGAAGGGAAGAGGUCUGCGACUGCUGACCCGACCGGACAUGCAUUGGUGAUAGCUGACAACCCAGGGCAAUCGGGAGAAAAGAAUGAUACUCGGAACAAUGAACAUGUUGCUAGGAUGGCACAAGAGAUGGAAUCACUAAGAGAAUAGGUACAACAUAUUCGGGAAUUGGCGCAUCUGGCCGUGAUAACGCUCCCAGAACCACCCCGCUUUCCUUCACUAUACUCGAUCCCCGAUCACUUUACUUCAACUACCUGCCAAGCAAACACAAGCCCGACUAUAGUUGCUACAACCCAGGUCGUACCCCAGUAACCCACCAAAACCUCCCAUUCAUACCCUUUAUGUGCCGCAGGUAUGUGCUGGUUUUGAUUGUUGCUAAAGGUGACACCGUCACGAGGAGGGGUAUGAACUGUGUUGGUAGCUAUACAUGAGCGAUAUGUUCCCCCCGUAUAUGCCACUUCAGAACCCACCUUCACAGUGCCCGUCAAAGUUUGGUUGCCAUAUGAAAUCGAUCAAUAUGCUAAAAUAGAAAGGGAAGAAAAGUAUAAAGAGGAAGAGUUAGUAUCCGAAUAGUUGCAAGCAUUGAGGAAACAAAUUAACAACCUUCAGCUCGCUCGAGGGAGCGAGAUCCUAGAUUAUGAAGAUUUGUGCAUACACCUUGAUAUGGAAAUGCUAGUAGGGUACAAGCCUCCGAAAUUUGACAUUGUUUAUGGGACAUGUGAUCUCCAUGCACACUUGAGAGCCUACUGCGACAAGCCUGUUGAAGUAGGAAAGAAUGAGAAGUUGAGGAUGUUGUUAUUUAUAAGGAGUUUAAAAGGAGAGUCACUCACUUGGUACACCCAUCAAGACCCCAGAAACUAGAGAGAAUGAUAGGAUAUGGCAGAAGACUUCAUCAACCGUUUUUGGUUUAACACAGAAAUUACUCCAGACAGAUUUGCCCUGGUGAAUUUGCAGAAGAAUACAUGAAAGUCAUUUCAAGAACACCGAUAGAGAUCAGAGGCUUCUACAGCUCAACCCCCAUUAGAUGACAAUGAGCUGAAUAAAUACUUCAUCAGGGCCCAAGAAGGAAUCUACUUUGAAACGAUGAUGGGCAUGAUGGGGCAGAAGUUCCCCGAACUUGUUAAGAUGGGAAACGUUUUGGAGGAAGGCAUCAAGUCUGGCAAGAUACAAUCCAUAGUUGCGUUGCAAGCAACAAGCAGCAAGCAAAGCAAUUAAUCCUGGUUCGAUAAGCAUUGGAUAGAGGAAGAAGGAAGAAGUAUCAGCAAUUGUUCCCUAUUACCAGUCCAGUUCACCCCAUGGAAAGAACUCUUACUCUCUGAACACCCAUUCUCCGCACCAACCUACCUAUCAUCAAGUAUACAACACACAACCAUACUAUAAUACCAACCUCAAAUAACCCUCCUCGUUCCCACAUAAAUCCUAAUCCACCACGAACAUACGCUCCAGUUCAAACCACCACUCAUCAAAAUUAACCCACCUAUGCACCCUGACCUCGCCCCAAAUUUGAAGAAAGAAUUUCUAGAAAUUAUACCUCAAUUGUUGAACCCUUAGCAAAAUUGUUUGAGAUGCUAAGAAGAGUUGUCCUGAUAUAUCCGGUAGAAGGGAAAAUUCCCAAGCAUCCUUCAAAAUACUUUGAUGCAACCUAAUGGUCUGUCUACCAUCAUAUGUAUCAGGGCAUGAUACCAAUGAUUUCUUAAAACUAAAGAAUAAAAUUGAGUCGUUGAUCAUAAGUGGGUCCAUUCAAUGCACCCCAGCUCCGCCUAAUGUGAACCGUAACCCAACGUCAAACACAGGAACCAAGGAGCUAAUAUGAUUACUUUGGAUGAAAAGUAUGAUUUGAAGGGGACUAUCGUCACAAUUGGGAACACCGAGGCUGCAAGGAUUCCACCCUAAAGAACUCUGUUGAUCACGGUACAGCUGAAAGCCCCAGUGAUGGUGCAUACAUACCAGCAAUAGUCCAUCGCCGCUAUCAGGAAUGAGGAGGAUCGAGAAUACAAAACAGUUCCAUGGACAUACCAGCAGAAAGGAAAAGGCAAGAUGAUGGAUUCCAUAGCGGCUCAUAAAAUGACCGGGUCAGGAAGGUGUUACACUCCGGAGGAGGUAAACUGAGGAAAUCUAGGAAGAAAACAGAUUCAGAGAAGGAACAUAACAGAUGCAUAGGCUACAAAAUUUUGAAAGAAGAUGUCUGCUACUGAAUAUUCUGUGGAAGAACAAUUGAAGAAAACCCAUGCACAUAUAUCGAUCAUGGAUCUGCUAAUGAGUUCCCACAGUCAUAAAGAUACUUUGAUGAUGGUGCUAAGUGGAAUGAGCGUGUCGAAUAACACUACUAGCAAGGCAUUGGCAGCAACAAUAUGAGAACAUGAUCACUUUCCGAAGAGAUGAACAUCCAAUAGAGGGCGUCGAUCAUAACAAACCCCUACACAUUAUAGUCAAGUGUGUUGAUAAAGUUCUGUCUAGAGUACUCGUUGACAGAGGAUAAGGGCUUUUGAUGGAUCACAGAAAAAGGUCAUUGGAGAAAUCUUCUCAGCUCUGCAGAUCAGACUAGUUUAGUUCCCAAUACUAUUUCAUGUACUGAACAUUUCUUCCUCAUACAACUUGUUACUAGGAAUACCCUGGAUACAUAUGGUAGGGGAAGUUCCGUCCACCCUCCAUCAAUACAUGAAAUUCGAGUUGGAAUGCCAAGAGAUUGUAAUUCACGGUGAAUGGAACAAGUUAGCUUAUCUAGAACAUGCAGUCCCGUUCAUACAAGGAUUGGAUGGGGUCGCCUUUCAUGCAGGCGAGAUCAUGUAGAUCACAUAGAUAGAGAAUACUGAGCAAAAUCUGGGUAUGACGUCACCAUACAGAUCAAAGAUGGCAAUGAGAGAAAUGAUGAAGUAUGGGUAUCGACCAGGACCGGGCUGAGAGCCUAAUUAGAUGGGAUAACGAAGCCGUUUUAGCCAAAGGGACAAAAGGGUAGGGUUGGUUUAGGGUAUUAGCCUUAAACUGGAAAUAUUUAUAUCGGUGGCUUCGGGAAGAAGGCUUUUGUGCCAGAGCAUGUUUCGAGUCCAGGACAGAGCUCAACACCAUAGAAUGACAUCAUUGAUGGAAUGAAAAGACUGUUCAUGACCAUGAUUGAGGAAUACUGCAACAAAGUUGAUGUCAAGACACCGACCAUUCGGGAUGCCGAACAAUGAGAGGACUUGCAGAAUUGGACUGCCAACCCAUCUCUAGUUCGCUGGUAGUCUUGGUAGUGUAGAAUUGUAGUAAUUUUGAAAAAAUGCACGGUCAAUUGAGGCUUGAUCGUGCCUGUACUCGUUUGUCAAAUUGCCUCCUUGAACGCUUAGACGUUCCCCUUUUGAUGAAAUAAAAGAAUUAUAUUCUUAAUAUCAUUGCAAACACAUCUAUUGCUUCAUUUAUACUUCGCGUUUCUUUUCAGUAAUCAAACCGAUAAACACCCACGUUCAGCGAUUAUGACAUGUAAUGAAACCGUUGAGCAAAAUGAUCCAGACUAUGAGGAGUAUGGCGAAAUCAUGAUGCCAGAUAAUCUCCCAAAAGAAAUCGAGCAGUUGGAAAGCCAGAAAAAACCUAACCUUGAAGAAACAAAUGUAAUCAUCUUGGGAAGCGAAGAAAAUGUGAAGGAAAAUCGAAUCAACAUCCACCUAGAAGUGGAAUAGAAAGAAGAAACGGUCGAGCUCCUCCGACAAUACAUCGACGUGUUUGUGUGGUCAUAUGACGACAUGCCCGGAUUGAGUAUCGACAUUGUCUCGCAUCAAUUGCCCAUCAAACCUGCCAGAUCGCCAGUUAAACAAAAACCCAGAAAGUUCAAGCCGGAUUUUAGUUUGUGGAUAAAAGAAGAAGUAACCAAGCAGAUAGAGGCAAAUGUGGUGAGAGUCACCAAUUAUCCCACAUGGUUGGCAAACAUCGUACCAGUACCAAAGAAAUAUGGGAAGAUUAGAAUAUGUGUGGGUUAUCAAGAUCUUAACAAGGCCAGUCCAAAGGACGAUUUCCCUUUAAAAAAUAUUCAUAUCCUCAUCGAUAAUUGUGCAAAGCACGAGCUGCAGUCAUUCAUGGAUUAUUUCUGGGUACCACCAGAUCCUGAUGCAUGAAGAAGAUACAGAGAAUAUAGAAUUCACUAUGCCAUCGGAUGUUUAUUGAUUCGAAUUCAUGCCAUUCGGCCUCAAGAAUGCCAGUGCUUCUUACAUGAGGGCCAUGACGACCCUCUUUCACGACAUGAUCCACAACGGUGUUGAGGUCUAUGUGGAUGACAUCAUCAUCAAAUCAGGAAAGAGUGCAGAUCAUUUGGAUGAGCUGAAGAAGUUUUUCGAACGUUUACGAAGGUAUAGUUUUAAGUUGAAUCCCACAAAAUGUGCAUUCGCAGUUGCCGCCGGAAAACUGCCAGGUUUCAUCGUGAGUAGGAAAGGGAUAGAAUUGGAUCCUUCAAAAAAACAAAGCCAUUCAAAAUCUACCGCCGCCUAAAAGUCAGAAGGACAUGAUGAGUAUCAUUAGAAGAUUAAACUACAUCAGCAGAUUCAUAGCCAGUCUACGGUGAUCUGCGAGCCUAUUUCAAACUGUUGAAAUAUGAUGCUGCUAAAAAAUGGCAGAAGAGUGUCAGAAAGCCUUCAACAAGAUCAAGGAGUACUUGUCAAAUCCACUGGUGUUGGUUCCCCCUGAGCUCGGGAAGCCACUGUUACUACAGUCUAUUUUAGAUAAUGUAUUUGGAUGCGUGUUGGGACAACACGAUGAGACUAGGAGGAAAGAGCAGGCUAUCUACUACAUGAGCAAGAAGUUCACACCAUAUGAAGCCAAAUACACUUUGAUAGAGUGGACCUACUGCGCUUUGACUUAGAUCGCCCAGAAGUUGAGGCACUACAUAUCGGCAUACACCAAACAUCUGAUAUCUCGGCUCGACCCACUCAUGUACAUCUUCCAGAAGCCGAUGCCUACAUAAAAACUGGCCAAAUGGUAGAUUCUUCUUAGAGAGUUCGACAUUGUGUACCUAACACAGAAGGCCAUCAACGGACAAGCAUUAGCCAACCACCUUGCAGAGAACCCAGUGGAUAACGACUACGAGCCUCUCACUACAUACUUGUUGGAUGAAGAAGUGUUGUUCGUUGGAGAAGACAUCGCAGUCAUACCCAGGAUGGAGAAUGUUUUUUGAUGGAGCAGCAAAUUUCAAAGGAGUGGGAAUUGGGGCAGUCUUAAUAUCCGAAUCAGGAUAGCAUUACCCAGCAUCAGCAAAGAUAAUGUCCUUUGAACCAAUAAUAUGGUCGAAUACGAAGCAUGCAUCCUCGAGAUUAGGAUGGUAGUCUACAUGAACAUCAAGGAUCAUCUGGUCAUAGGAAGUUCUAAUCUACUGAUACAUCAUGUCCAAGGUGAAUGGACUGCCAAGAACGUCAAGAUCCUUUCGUACCUACAUUGCGUGAAGGACCUAUACAUGAAGUUCACCGAGAUAGAGUUCAAACACAUUCCAAGGAUCCAUAACGUGUUUGCCAAUGCUCUUGCAACCUUGUCAUCCAUGAUCCAGCUUCCAGAUAAGAAUUACAUCGACCCCAUUAAGAUAGAGAUUCAAGAUCAUCAUGUAUACUAUUUCUAUGUAGAUAAAGAGUCGGAUGGUAAGCCAUGGCACUAUGACGUCAAAACGUUCCCUGAAACAAGAGAGUACCCAGAUAAUGCCACCAAUGGUCAGAAGCAAAAAGAAGAAGCCAAGGGAAAGUUCGUGCCGAAUUGGCAGGGUCCUUAUAUGGUCCAUCGAGUAUUGUCUGGAGGAGCUUCGAUCUUAGCAGAAAUGGACGGAAGAGUUAGCACGAAUCCCACCUACUCAAAUGCAAUCAUGAGAUACUAUAUUUGACGAUAAACCACGUUGGGUCUGUUCUCUUCCCCUCCUUUGUAAUAGAAAACCCAAAUAUCAUUUUGUGUGUACUUAGAACUACGCCGCGACUUGAUUUCCUCCGGCAUGAAUAGGUAGGCAAUCAUCAUCAGAUUCAGUCGCCUAUUGUAUACGAUCUUUCCUGAUUCCAUUUGGAUAUGUAGGCAGUCUGAGUCAGACUCGGCCACCUCAUUUUUCAUUUCCUAUCAUUUUGCAUCUAUUGUAAUCGAACUACAUUUUUGACCUGAUUCCAUUUGGAUACGUAGGCUCGAUCAUCACCAUCAUCUUGUUAUUUAUCAUUUUAUUACCCUUGAACUACGUUCAAAACUAAUUAUGUUACAAAUAUGUAAGCAACCUGAAAAGAUUCAGCCAUAACAUUAUGAAAACUUUUGUAAUGCAUUCGUUUUGAUUAGGACGCAAUCGCAAUGGC